rnacentral:lncRNA from 1 species
GCCCACAAGGUGUUCGACAAUUUGCUCCAACCAAAUUUGGUGGUCGAUUCUCGUCCAAUUCUUACCGAAUCCAUUCCAAAAGUUCUCCCAAAUAUGUCGUCCAACAAAAGAGGCCGCACGAAUGAAGCUUCAUCUUCCAAAGGCAAAGGCAAGAAAGGUGCCACCAAAACGACGAUUCCUUUUCCCGAAAAAGAAGCCUUUAGUGUGAAAGGCACCGCGGCUCU